rnacentral:rRNA from 1 species
GGCGAACGGGUGAGUAAUAUAUCGGAACGUGCCCAGUAGUGGGGGAUAGCCCGGCGAAAGCCGGAUUAAUACCGCAUACGACCUAUGGGUGAAAGCGGGGGAUCGCAAGACCUCGCGCUAUUGGAGCGGCCGAUAUCAGAUUAGCUAGUUGGUGGGGUAAAAGCCUACCAAGGCGACGAUCUGUAGCUGGUCUGAGAGGACGACCAGCCACACUGGGACUGAGACACGGCCCAGACUCCUACGGGAGGCAGCAGUGGGGAAUUUUGGACAAUGGGCGCAAGCCUGAUCCAGCCAUGCCGCGUGUGGGAAGAAGGCCUUCGGGUUGUAAACCACUUUUGUCAGGGAAGAAACGGUCUGAUCUAAUAAAUUGGACUAAUGACGGUACCUGAAGAAUAAGCACCGGCUAACUACGUGCCAGCAGCCGCGG